rnacentral:lncRNA from 1 species
CUAGAAAUUCAUGAAUUUGAGCCAAGGUAUUAUUACGCUCUUUGUAACCUUCUCCGCUUCUUUGGAGCACGACGACGUUGGAUUGUCGCCGUCCUUCGACGCCGCCUUUUUGGUGCACAAGAAGAAAUUUCGCGAUCCCAGCGCCAUCAGCUUCUCUCCCCUUUCUAAACCUGCGCCCCACCACACAGAAAAAAAUAUUAGGAUUCAAUCUCAAAUGUACACCAGUACUCAAAAAGAUAAACAUCACUGAUUGAACGGCUAGUUAUUCUUUAUCAGAAGGUUUUGUCUUACUCUCUAAGCUAAAUUGAGAAUAAUGGAGGUCCAACAGCGAGGCGUCCGUUGACGGUAAGAUCGGACGGCGACCUUCCUUCGAGUACUGACGAACGGCGGCGGUUAUUAAGUCACCGACAGUGUUUUCCGGCGACAGCACUACUUGUACAGCUCCGAGACUCCCUUGAAUGGUCACGUUCAACAGCAGCUUCGUCAACUUCGGCCUCGCAUCCGG